rnacentral:rRNA from 1 species
UACAGGGGGUGCAAACGUUGCUCGGAAUCAUUGGGCGUAAAGCGCACGUAGGCGGUUCGUUAUGUCGGAUGUGAAAGCCCUUGGCUUAACCGAGGAAGUGCAUCCGAAACUGGCGAGCUAGAGUACUAAAGAGGAUCGCGGAAUUCCUGGUGUAGCGGUGAAAUGCGUAGAUAUCAGGAGGAACACCGGUGGCGAAGGCGGCUCUCUGGACGGUGACUGACGCUGAGACGCGAAAGCGUGGGGAGCAAACAGG